rnacentral:lncRNA from 1 species
GUUGUCAUAAUAAAUAAAAACUACUUUGACUUUAUAUUCUAUCAAAUACUGUGCUAUAGCAGGUUGGAUCCCCCAAAGUCAAGCCAAGUCGAGGCUCUCCUUAUCCGAGCAUGAGGAGAGCACAAUGAACCUCUCCUCAUCCACGCAUAAAGAGAAUGCGACAAAUCUCUCCUUAUCUGAGUACAAGGAGAGCAUGAUGAAUCUUUCCUUAUCCGAGUAUGGAGAGAGCAUGACGAACCUAUCCUCAUCCGAGCAUGAGGAGAGCAUAGGCCAAUCUUAGCCCAUUGGAGGGGAGAAUCCAAAGAGAACCCCACAAGCUCCUCACACA